CUCUCUCUCUCUCUCUGUCUCUCAUAAAUACAUAAAUAUUUUUUAAAAGGGGUGGGGGAGUUUCAUCCUUAUUGUCACAGAUGAGGAAACUUGAGAAGGUUAAAUAACUUGCCCAGAGCAAAUCAGCAGUAGGUAACUGAACUUGAAAUUACAAAUAUGAAUAUCAGGAUUUGAAAGUAUACCAGCAGGAGUUUGUAGAGGUUAUAAAGGCAAAGCUCACUGAUCUGCCUUCAUCCCCACAUUCCCUGUUUUCCUUACCCUGCAUUAUUCUUUUUCUAGAAUACCUAUAUUACAAAUUUUAUGUUUUAUUGUCACUCUUUCUCCUUCCAGAAUAUGAGUACUGCAAUGUCUAUUAGUUUUGUUCACCAUUGCAUCCAUGGGGUCUAGCACACUACCUGGCAUAUAGUAGGCUCUCAAUAAGCUAAAUGAUCAGAGUAACAUACUGGAAGUGUGACAAGGAGACACAUCUAGUGUGAGAAUGUUAUCUUUUGACACGAGUUUAUGAACCAAGAAGCAGAGAGAUAGAAGGAUGUUUGUUGGAGAAAUGGAAGUUACGACCGUCAGAAGAACUAAAAUGAGACCAUUGAGUGUUAGGUCUUCUAAGGAGUAGGUUUGGGUCAGACUGGAGUUGGGUGGAUGGGGCUUCCUUUUCCUUGUACUCUUCUGUAAGAUUUGAAUUUUUACCAUAUACAUCACUUACUUAAAUAAUAAAAGCAUUUUGGACUUCAAUUCUGGUGAUGGCUGACUACCAAAAAUAAUAAUAAAAUAUUAGAUUCUUAAAAAUGAAGAAAUGAAAAAAACAGGAACUCUCAGGUCAGUUUUGGGAUGAAAGUCUAUAAUCAAGGAAGGAAAUGGAAUGUUGGAACAAGAAAGCUGCAGGAGUUGUGAGCUGUAAAGAGGGUUGUGUCGGUGCUCUUGAAGCAGGUGAGGAAAAGAAAUAGAAAAGGGUAAUGUACCUGGGAGGUUUGUGCAGAUUUGCUUCCCUGAAGAUUUGCUCCUUAAGUAUGCAUAGUUGGAUGGGCCUAGAUUCUCAGAAUCUGAACUUAACAGAAGCACAACAAAAUCUGUGGAUGAAGGCUCAUCCCAAGCCUUUAAUGCUUUUUUCAAGGUUAAUGUGCAGCAAGCAAUAAAGAUUUCUGCAAGUUAUGCAAACAACCUGAAUGUGAAUGAGAAUCAGCAAAAAUCAGAGAUUACUUAGACCAGUUACUAUACAAUUAUCAUGUUUUAAGUUUAUUGAGAUACAAUUUACAUAAAGUAAAAAUCACCUUUUUUUAGUUGUGCAGUUGUAUGAAGUUUGAUAAAUAUAUGUGCUCACAUACCCAUCAACACAAGAUAGAAAUCCAUUCCAUUACGCCCAGAAGGUUCCCCAUCCCCAGCUUAAGCCCCUGGCAACUACUGGUCUGUUUUCUUCCCUACAGUUUUGUGUUUUAAACGAUGGCCUGUAAAUGAAAUCACAUAUGUAGAUUUUGAGCCUGCUCUAUUCACUUAAUCACUUGAGAUUCAUCCACGUUGUUGUAUAUUAUCAGUAGUUUGAUCCUUUUAAUUGCUGAGUAGUAAUCCAUUGUGAAUGUACCAUGUUUUGUUCAUUUACUAGUUGAAGGAGAUUUGGGUUGUUUCCAAUUUUUACUGAUGACAAAUAAAACUGUUGUUAACAUUCACCUGAAGAUACUGUGUGUGAACAGAUUUCAUUUCUCUUGGGUGCAUUUCUAGGAAUGGGAUUGCUGGGUUGGUUAUAAGAAACAACCAGUUUUUUUCGAAGCAGCAGUACCAUUUUGCAUUCCCACCACAAUAUAUGGGAAUUCCAGGUGGUUCACAGCCUCAGUGGAACUCAGUAUUGUAGGGGGGUUGGUGGUGGUGGUUGUUAACGGUUUUGGUUUGCUUUUUUUGUUGUUUAUUUUUGUUGUUACUGGGUGUAUGAUUUAUCUCAUUGGUUUUUAUUUCUAUUUCCCUAAUAACAAAUGACAUUGAAUAUUUUUUCAUUCUUAUUUGAUGUCUGUCUUAUUUAAAGGCAAAGUUUUAAACUCAUACAGUUUUUAAAAACUGAUUUGUUUUAGUUAUUGAAUUUUGGGAAUUCUUUAUAUAUUCUGAAUACAAAUCACUUAUAUUUUCUUCUGGUCUGUGGCCUUUUUAUUUUUUAAAUACCUUUCAAAGAGCAGAAGUUUUAAAUUUUGGUGGCAGUCCAGUUUUGUCUGUUUUUUUGUUUUUGUUUUUGUUUUUUUUCCUUUUACAGAUCAUGCUUUUGGUGCUGAAUCUAAGAAAUCCUUGACUAACUCAAAGUAAUAAAGAAUUUUCUUCUAUUUCUUCUAGAACAGAUGUAAGCAAACUUUUCCUGUAAAGAGCUAGAUAGUAAUUAUUUUAGGCUUGGGAGGCUAUAGUCUGUUGUAGCAUGAAAGCAGCCAUAAACAGUACAUAUAUGAAUGGUGUUUCAGUAAAACUUUUUUUUUAAAUUUUUUAUUUAUUUAUUGAUAGUCACACACAGAGAGAGAGAGAGAGGCAGAGACAUAGGCAGAGGGAGAAGCAGGCUCCAUGCACCGGGAGCCCGACGUGGGAUUCGAUCCCGGGUCUCCAGGAUCGCGCCCUGGGCCAAAGGCAGGCGCUAAACCACUGUGCCACCCAGGGAUCCCAGUAAAACUUUAUCUACAACAACAGUUGUCUGCUUUGUGCCAUCAUCGCUUGGAUCUGAGAGUCUUGAGUUAGCCAACUUUAUUGAAGAUCAUCUCCUAGAGGAUUUUUAGAAUUCAAGAGCUCAGGAUCUCCUGGAAAGGCCUGUUACAUCAAGAUUCAAAGGAUAAAUAUCCGGGAGUAUGAUUGCUGAGUCUUGUGAAACCAAAGGAAUCAAAAUGGGCAAAAAUUCUCCCGAAAAAGGCCUGGGGCAGUCAGUGAAGUUCAGCUCUGAAGCUGCUGGUGCCGGAAACUUCAGGUAGGAACUGUCCCGGUUAGGACAGCCUGUUCCCCUUUUACGAUUAGCAUUUUUUUAAAAACAAGACCAGCAGUGUUUUUGCACAAUGACUAAAAUUGAUUUAGAAACAAAAUUGCUUUAGGACAGAUAAAAGUGAAGGAAGGAAUAAGAAUGUUGUAACUACGAAAAUUUAUUAGACUAGAAGUUGAAUAAUGUGUAUAAAGGCAAACAGUCUUUAGGUGGCAGAGGGUUUUUUGAGAUGGCAAGGGUAACAAGAAUUAUCUUGGGUUUGACUGGAUCAAGCAUUCUCAACCAGGAGGGUAUCACCCCUAAGAGGGUGAGAACUGGUUCAUGGGGGACCAGAAAGAACUUGGGUAUUCAAUGAUUUGUGCCCAGGGGCCAUAAAGAGAAAUACAGUAUAACUGUGGUGUUAGAAUUUCAUGAUGGGGAGGCAGAUGAGGAAAAGAUGUCUAAAAAGUCUCCUUAAAGGGACAAUAAUGGGGAAAAAAAGGGUUGAAAACUAGAUGAAUUUCACUGAACUAGAUGAUUCAAAUGGAAGAAUGCUGUUGAUCACCAAUGAAUCCUCCUGGGAAAAUGAAUUAGAAAUAAGUGCAUUAUCUUGACGGAAGGAAAAAGACCUUACACAUUGCCUAGGAAUGUGGGAAAUACAAAAUAAAACCCACUGGGAAAUAUAAAAGUAGCAGUGGGCAGCUGGGAUAUCCCCCACAGCUGCUCAACAGAUGAUGAGCCGCUGUCUCCGUAGAUAUCAGGGCCCAGGACACUGGGCUGAUGGCCUGAGCCACACUGCGCCAGCCCCCGGACAAGGUGCUAGGAGCUGACACAGCUGGGUGCGAGCCAGGAUUCAGUUCACCCACCCACCUCCCACCCUCCCGAUCUGUUUUGUUUUCCCUUGUCUACCUCCCUUCCUACCGUCCUCUCACGACUCCCGUCAUUCAUUCCUUCAACAGGCUGGGGAAUCAGGAGCAAUGUUAAUGAAUGAAAGAAAAGAAUGCCAGAAACAGAGAACCACAGGCUGACAUCAAAGAAAUGACCUCCAGCCAUAUGAUUGUACGUAGAAGGCCAGAUAGUAUAUGCUGACAUCUGUGAAAUCAAAUCACGAUGCAAACAGGCUUUUGGCCUCCCUCAUCCACAUUUCUGGCUCCAGGGCAAGGGCUUUUGUCUGUAAGCGAGCACUCAGUUACCGGAAAUAGACAUGCAGCACACCUGGAAAUGGACCAAAAUAUCCAGGAGGCAAAUGCUUCCAGAAGGGGAAGGCUCCUGGGCUCCUGCUCCAUUCUUUACUGCUUGAGGACGACAUGGCUGUGCCUCCCCUUCAGUUUGGUGGAGAGGCCUGCAAAGGACCAUGAAAUGACACCCCUGGCCUUCCUUCACCAGGCUCUUCACAGCACCACACACCAGGGCCCCACCCAACACAACCCUGAGACUCCAGGAGUAAAACAAAAGCCUACGAAGAGCCCUUGUUUUGGCAAAACGGUGGACAUAUCAAAUCCCGACUCUGCACAUUCCUCAGUAUCCGCAGCUGUGAUGUGGGCAGAUGGUCAACGUAUGGGGAAGACCUGAGGAGGAAGAGAAUUUCCAGAGACCCUGGGACAUCUGCCAUCCAGCCAGCAGAAGGGACGAUUUCUGAUGACAUCAGCCUCCUGGCUUCUCUGCAGGGUCUGGUGGAAUGAGAGGGAAAAUGGCCUCUCAUUGCCAGACUUUUGCCAUCCUGGCGUCCUUAAAAUAUGGCAAAGAUCUGCUCCAGAACCAGAGAAAUUAAAGUUGGAUGGACACUUCGUUCUUCCUUGCUCCUUGACAAACUCUGUUUUUGGUUUUGGCCUUCCUGUACCCAUCACAGUGCAUUCAAGAUGACUCAAAUUAUAUAGACACUGCUGAAAGACUCUUUUUGCAACUUUAUAGAAGUUUCCCCACUAAUGUCUGACUGAUCAAGUCCCUAAUCCUGAAAAGGCUGUUUUGUUUUCCCCGGAGGCCUCUGACCUCCCUGCUCUGGACCCUUUGAACACCUGCUCUUGGUACCAGUCACCAAUAGUCUGGUUAUUGCAUGAGCCUCACCCUCCCACAACACUUUGCCCUCCCUGUGGGAAAUUAAAAAAAAAAAAAAAUUUGUGUCUCUGCCUCUCUCAUGAAUAAAUAAAUUUAAAAACAAAAACAAAGAGUCCUGUUG